rnacentral:rRNA from 1 species
GCUCAGGAUGAACGCUGGCGGUAUGCUUAACACAUGCAAGUUGAACGGUUUUUUAAACAGUAACGGACGGGUGAGUAUUGUAUAAGAAUCAACGUUUAGGUAGGGUAUAACAUUUAGAAAUUUUUGCUAAUCCCCUAUAUUGCUAUUAUGUAAAAGAUUUUUCGCCUAGACAUGAGCUUAUAUUUGAUUAGUUAGUUGGUAAGUUAAUAGCCUACCAAGACAAUGAUCAAUAGUUAGUUUGAGAAAAUGAUUAGCCACAUUGGAAUUGAGAUACGGAACAGACUUCUACGGAAGGCAGCAGUGAGGAAUAUUCCGCAAUGAGUGAAAGCUUGACGGAGCAAUACCGCGUGAAGGAUGAAGGCUUUAGGGUCGUAAUCUUCUUUUGUUACUGAAGAAUUAAUGACGGUAAGUAACGAAUAAGCAUCGGCUAAUUUUGUGCCAGCAGCCGCGGUAAUACAAGAGAUGCGAGCGUUAUCUGGAAUUAUUGGGCGUAAAGAGUUUGUAGGCGGUAAAAUGUGUUUGAUGUAAAAUCUUAAAGCUUAACUUUAUGUCUGCAUCAAAAACUGUUUUGCUAGAAUAUAGUAGAGGUAAAGGGAAUUUCCAGUGUAGUAGUGAAAUACGUAGAUAUUGGAAGGAACACCAGUGGCGAAGGCGCUUUACUAGGCUAAUAUUGACGCUGAGAAACGAAAGCUAAGGGAGCAAAUCGGAUUAGAUACCCGAGUAGUCUUAGCUGUAAAUGUUGGAUAUUAGGUGGCGGUUGUCCGCUGCUGUAGUUAACGCGUUAAAUAUCCCGCCUGGGGAGUAUGCUUGCAAAAGUGAAACUCAAAGGAAUUGACGGGGAUCCGCACAAGCAGUGGAGCAUGUGAUUUAAUUCGAUGGUACACGAAGAAUCUUACCAGGGUUUGACAUGUUAGGAAAUUUUCUGAAAAGAGAAUGUGCCGAUAGGAACCUAAACACAAGUGGUGCAUGGCUGUCGUCAGCUCGUGUUGUGAAAUGUCGGGUUAAGUCCCGUAACGAGCGCAACCCCUAUUCUUAGUUAUUUUAAAAUUUAAGAAGACUGCUGACGUCAAGUCAGAGGAAGGUGGGGAUGAGGUCAAGUCAUCAUGCCCUUUAUAUCCUGGGCUAUACACGUGCUACAAUGGUUAAGACAAUGAGUUGCUAAUUUGCGAAAAUAAGCUAAUCUCUUAAACUUAACCUCAGUUCAGAUAGUAGGCUGCAACUCGCCUAUUUGAAGUCGGAAUUGCUAGUAAUCGCCAAUCAUCUAUGUGGCGGUGAAUACGUUCCCGGAUCUUGCCCACACCGCCCGUCACACCAUGGAAGUUAGCUGUGUCUGAAGAUAUUAUUCUAACAUUUGGGGAAGGUAUCUAAGGCCUGGUUGGUAACUGGGGUGAAGUCGUAACAAGGUAGCC